CAGCAGUUUUCUUCUGACAUGGAGAAAGGGAAAUGCACUGCCUGCUGGAUUUCUGCUUUUUCGGGAGAAAAGGGAAACACGUGUAAGGUUGAAUCACGCAGGCAGAAGAUAACCAUGUUCUCCUUAUACAGGCAAGUACAGGGGUCGGUCUUUCCCAGACUUGUCUUUUGUUGUUGUUGUUUAGUCAUUUAGUUGUGUCCGACUCUUCGUGACCCCAUGGACCAGAGCACACCAGGCACUCCUGCCUUCCACUGCCUCCCUCAGUUUGGUCAAACUCAUGCUGGUAGCUUCGAGAACACUGUCCAACCAUCUCGUCCUCUGUCUUCCCCUUCUCCUUGUGCCCUCCAUCUUUCCCAACAUCAGGGUCUUUUCCAGGGAGUCUUCUCUUCUCAUGAGGUGGCCAAAGUAUUGGAGUCUCAGCUUCACGAUCUGUCCUUCCAGUGAGCACUCAGGGCUGAUUUCCUUCAGAAUGGAUAGGUUUGAUCUUCUUGCAGUCCAUGGGACUCUCAAGAGUCUCCUCCAGCACCAUAACUCAAAAGCAUAAAUUCUUCGCCGAUGGUCCAGCUCUCACUUCCAUACAUCACUACUGGGAAAACCAUAGCUUUAACUAUACGGACCUUUGUUGGCAAGGUGAUGUCUCUGCUUUUUAAGAUGCUGUCUAGGUUUGUCAUUGCUUUUCUCCUAAGAAGCAGGUGUCUUUUAAUUUCGUGGCUGCUGUCACCAUCUGCAGUGAUCAUGGAGCCCAAGAAAGUAAAAUCUCUCACUGCCUCUAUUUCUUCCCCUUCUAUUUGCCAGGAGAUGCCAAACAUUGAACCUGGAACUUUUUGUGGGCAAAGCACCAGCCCUACCAUUGAACUACAUUCCCACCCUCAAAGCUUAACAGUAGGUGCCUGCAGAAGACCCAUUGUAAUAAUAAUAAUAAUUUAUUAUUUAUACCCCACCCAUCUUGCUGGGUUUCCCUAACCACUCUGGGUGGCUUCCAACAAAAUAUUAAAAAUACAUUAAGCUUUGCUUCAACAAAGCUUACGCAGAAGUCAAAUUGUAUCUGGUCUUUAUUGAGCAUUUGUUCCCUCUGCCGAGCAGUUAAAUGUCAAGGGGAAUUCAUCCUGGUGAGGUCUUUCCAUUGGUGAUUUGUUCACCCCAUGCAUUUCCCCGCCACGUUUCAGAAAGCAAAAACAGACACGGGUUUGUUUGCCUUUUAAAAAUAGAUUUGUUCAUAGAAUCAUAGAGGUGAGUCCUAGGGUCAUCUAGUCCAACCCCCUGCAAUGCAGGAAUGUCAGCAUCCAAGACAGACGGCUAUCCAACCUCUGUUGUGCUAGGUUGCCAGAGAACUGCAAUUCACUUCAGUUGCACAAACUUAAAUCUUCCUUCCUGCAAAAUAGUGGCAGUCUGGAAGUGCCCUAUAACUACAGUGGUACCUCGGGUUAAGUACUUAAUUCGUUCUGGAGGUCCGUUCUUAACCUGAAACUGUUCUUAUCCUGAGGUACCACUUUAGCUAAUGGGGCCUCCCGCUGCCACGCCGCCGGAGCAUGAUUUCUGUUCUCAUCCUGAAGCAAAGUUCAUAACCUGAAGCACUAUUUCUGGGUUAGCGGAGUCUGUAACCUGAAGCGUAUGUAACCUGAGGAACCACUGUAUUAGAAAUAAAGGCUCCAUCUUCAGGUGUGCUAUGCAAAACGGUCGAAGCUCAUCCCCAUAUGAACUGACCUGGACCCUGCGGUCAUCAUCUGAGGCCCUUCUUCAUGCGCCUCCUUCCACAGGAGGUCCCACAGGUGGCAACACGAGAACGGGCCUUCUCCGCGGUUGCUCAACAUUUGUGGAAUGCUUUUCCCAGAGAGGCUUGUCUGGUGCCCUCACUACGUAGCUUUGCACACCAGGCGAAAAUGUUUCUCUUCCACCAGGUCUUGGGCUGGUUAACAUUCUAUGGCCUUUUAAAUGUGUUGCUGGGAGGGGUUUUUUGUCUUGUUUUUGUCUUUGUGUUAUUACACAUUUGGUGUUUUCCUUUUGUAUUUUUAUGUUGCGAACCGCCCUGCGGGAUACAAAUUUAAAUGAUAAAAAUUUAUAUUUUGACAACAAUCUCCCAGCCCUAGGGGGAUUGAACCUGCAACCUUUUGCAUGAUGAGCACAUUCUCUUCCACGGAGUUAUAGCCUUUCCCAAGUUUCCUUGCAUUAAAAAAAGCCUGUCUCCUUUCAUAGUGUGGAAUUUUGCAACCACCGUUCCGGGGUUGUUUGGCGUGGUUUUUUGGUUGUGUGCCAACAGUACUGCUUCCCUUGAAAGGGACUUGCACUUUGUUUAUAAUCACAGACUAAGGCUGUGUGCAGUGCCAGAUUUACGUAUAAGCUAAACAAGCUAUAGCUUAGGGCCCCACUCUCUUGGGGGCCCCAAAAAAAUUUAAAGGGGAAAAAAACUGGAUGUACAUUUCCAAAAUAUAAGAUAAAAAACAAAUAAAAUAAAAGCUACAUACAGCAACAGUGUUUUGUUUUGUGUAGGCUUCUAUGAUGUAAGUAAUGAGCCCUGCCUGCUAGCCUGCUCCCUAAAAUAUAUUGCUCAUUUCUAUAUCAAUUACUUUGAUAAAAUACAUAUUUUGUUAUGUGCAAAUGGCUUUAGAUACCUAUGACGUCCAUAAAUUACCAUAUAGCAUAUAUUCAAUACAAAAAACAGCGACAAUUGGUUGUUGACAAAGGACAGCUGGACAUAUAAAGGGCCCCAUUCCUUUCAGUAGCUUAGGGCCUCAUCAAACCUAAAUCCGGCCCUGGCUGUGUGCACUCAACGUUAUAUUCUACAUGCAAUGCACAUUGAGGUCUUGUUUCUCCUACCUAGUCCACACACAACCCAGACCCAUGGCAUCUUUUAUGAAGAGCGUUUUCUCCAACCCGUUUCCUUCCAAAAAUAAAAGCUCAGUGCAGACUGAUCCUGCGUUACCACACAGUGUGUCCAUCUGAAAGUGGAUGGAGGUGGACUCAGCAUUGUGGGGUGUAUCCACACCUGCCCAGUGAUGUUGUGGGUGGGCAUACACCAAGAUCACAAUCACCACUCCCUUCCUUAUUCAUGGGUGGUAAGCAAAAGGUGUUGUUGUUGUUGUUUAGUCGUUUAGUCGUGUCCGACUCUUCGUGACCCCAUGGACCAGAGCACGCCAGGCACUUCUGUCUUCCAAUGCCUCCCGCAGUUUGGUCAGACUCAUGUUUGUAGCUUCGAGAACACUGUCCAACCAUCUCGUCCUCUGUCGUCCCCUUCUCCUUGUGCCCUCCAUCUUUCCCAACAUCAGGGUCUUUUCCAGGGAGUCUUCUCUUCUCAUGAGGUGGCCAAAGUAUUGGAGCCUCAGUUUUAGGAUCUGUCCUUCCAGUGAGCACUCAGGGCUGAUUUCCUUAAGAAUGGAUAGGUUUGAUCUUCUUGCAGUCCAUGGGACUCUCAAGAGUCUCCUCCAGCACCAUAAUUCAAAAGCAUCAAUUCUUCGGCGAUCAGCCUUCUUUAUGGUCCAAAGCGAAAGGUAUGGAUAAGCAAAUCAAGGGGUGGGUUUUCAAAUAUCUAUCAGGUUAUCAUAUCCAUCUUGGCAGAUGGCAGGAUUUGGAAUUAAACUAGCUUGAAAGCAGCAGGUGAGGGAUGAGCAUGCACAGCCCUGAGAAAAACUAAUUAUCUGCAUUGUAAACUGACGCAGCCCAGAGGCUACAAUUCUGUACUUACCUUGUUGUUGUCGUUUAGUCAUGUCCGACUCUUCGUGACCCCAUGGACCAGAGCACGCCAGGCACUUCUGUCUUCCACUGUACUUACCUACUUGAGAGCAAUCCCCCCACUAAACUCCACGGGAUUUACUUCUGAGUAGACAUGCCUAGGAUCGUGCCGACAAUAUCUGGGCUGUGAGAAAUUUUUUUUGUUGGGGGUUAGUGGUGAAAAGGGACUUGCAUAUGUUGAGAUCAGCCAUGAAGGUCUUGGCUCGUGAUUGAUUUUCCUAUAGAGAACCAGCUGAUUCCUCCAGGAACCAUUAUCCUUUUGAGACUAUCCUGGGGCUCCCUCUGGCGGCCACUUCAACUUGACUUUUGUGCAGCCCGGCGAACUGUCCCAUGAAGAGUGCAUCCACCCAUUUAAAGAAAUAAACACUGCAUUUAUUUAACGGGGAAUAUAUUGCUUCUCUGGCAGCUUCCCAUUGACACCUGGACCCAAUUCAAAAGGCUGAUUGUUGAGGACACGCGGAAAUUCACGAGCAAAGAGUGUGGGGAGGGGAGCACACUCACCAAAUCCCAAUUCCACUGUCCAUAUCCUUUAAGAACAUAAGAAGAAGCCAGCUGGAUCAGGCCAAUGGCCCGCCUAGCCCAGCAUCCUGUUCUCACAGGAGCCAACCAGAUGCCCCAAUGGGAAACCUGUAAGCAGAACCUCAACACAAGAGCCCUGUGAUUCCCAGAAACUGGUAUUCAGUGGCAUGAUCCCUCUGGCGGUGGAGGCAGAACGGAGCCCAGCAGGUGAGAGAACCUUCUUGGUGAGACAGCUUUGUGUUCCAGGAUCCCUCAUAGAAUCGCAGAAUUGGAAGGGACCAUGAGGGCCAUCUUGAGAGUCCCAUGGACUGCAAGAAGAUGAAACCUAUCCAUUCUUAAGGAAAUCAGCCCUGAGUGCUCACUGGAAAAACAGAUCGUGAAGCUGAGGCUCCAAUACUUUGGCCACCUCAUGAGAAGAGAAGACUCCCUGGAAAAGACCCUGAUGUGGGCAAAGAUGGAGGGCACAAGGAGAAGGGGACGACAGAGGAUGAGAUGGUUGGACAGUGUUCUUGAAGCUACCAGCAUGAGUUUGACCAACUGCGGGAGGCAGUAGAAGACUGGUGUGCUCUGGUCCAUGGGGUCAUGAAGAGUCGGACACGACUAAACGACUAAACAACAACAACGAGGGCCAUCUAGUCCAACCACUCUGCAAGUCAGGAAUCUUUCGCCCAACGUGGGGCUUGAACCCACAACCCUGAGGUGAAGAAUCUCAUACUCUACCGUCUGAUCCAUCUCAGUAGGGAUGGCCUCCCCAUGGUCUGUCCACCUGAGGGCUCCAUGUGUUGGUAGAAGGGAAGCAAGGUGUUCCCCAACACUGUUCACACAAACCUGCUUUAGCAGUUUCUAAAGCUCUGAAGACCCAGCAUAUCUUUAGAGAGGGUUAUCUCUUAUUAUUUAUUAGUUCGGUGGUGUCUCAUGAUACAAGGGUGCAAUUCUGUGCAAACCUAUUCAAAUGUGGACCCUGCUGAGUUGAGUUGCACUUACUCCUAGGUAAGUGUGUCGAUUGAAAUCUUAAGCCUUGUUUUUAUCUACAAAUGCUUUUUAGUUCUUCACUUUUGCUGCUUUCACCAAGAGUGUAGUAGUAUUUUCCUUGUUUCGUUCCCAGAUAACUGGUUUCAUCUAAGGGUUUGGUUCUGAAUUUGCUUAUAUUCUAUUGGACUAUUUUAAAUCGCUCAGAUAUUUGGAGAAAACAUCUAAUGAACCCCACUGCAAAACACAGCACACCCCCCCAAUAUAUUUUGACCGACCUGCCUUCCAAAAUGUGAUGAACUGGGGUAGUAAACAGAUUCUGGGAAUUUUAUUUAUUCAUUCAUUCAUUCACAACGUUUCAUCAGUUUCGAUCCCAGGGCAACUUAUAUCUCAAGCAUUUAAUUAAACGAAAAUUAGGCCACUGGUUUUAAACAAGCUUAAAACAAAACCAUAUAACCAGAGCAGCAGAUAGCACCUAUCCAUUUACUUCUGCUUUUGUCAAAUCAACUUUCUUCUAAUGGGUGAAGAGAUAAGAUUUUCAACAGGUGCUGAAAACCCACAAUCACACAACUUGCACCUCUGGGGGGAGCAAUAGGCUUACCUCCUCUUGAAAAAAUAUUAGCAGACGGACAUCUUACUUUUAUUUAUUUAUUACAUUUAUAUACAGUACCACCUUUUCCACCAAGGAGUUCAAGUGCAGGAUUCUUCCCUCCCCAUUUUAUCUGCACAACAACCCUCCGAAGUAGGUUAUGCAGAGAGACGGUGACCUUACGCAUGCCUCCUCAAAGCCCAGUUGAACCCAAUAAUGGGUUGCAGCCUCAGAAAUCCUGGAAAAUCAUAGUUGUAGAGUUUUAAGGUACUCCAAGGAUCAUCUAGUCCAACCCCCUUCAAUGCAGGAAUCCUGCCCACGGUCAUCCCUGGGUGGGCUUCUUGAACCACCAACCUUCUGGCUGACAGUCAGACACACUGACCCACUGCGCAACAGGAAUAAGCACAAUUUAAUUUAGUGGGAUUUACUUCCGAGUUAGACAUAAUACAGUGAUACCUCGGGUUACAAACUUAAUUUGUUCUGGAGGUCCGUUCUUAACGCAAAACCAUUCUUAACCUGAGGCGCGCUUUCGCUAAUGGGGCCUCCCGCUGCUGCCACGCCACAAUUUCAGUUCUCAUCCUGGGGCAAAGUUUGUAACCCGAGGUACUACUUCCGGGAUAGCGGAGUUUGUAACCCGAAGUGUUUGUAACCCGAGGUGUUUGUAACCCGAGGUAUCAUUGUAUAGGAUUGCAUUGUAAGCCAGCAAAGUUUUUACAGCAUGUGUAGCGGUACUGAUUUCCUGUUUGAAGGGAGGGAAGGCUCUGAUAACAGAGGAAUAGCAAAGGCCAAUUGCACACAGGUAUGCUUAAAUAGACGGGACGCGGGUGGCGCUGUUGGUAAAACCACAGAGCCUAGGACCUGCUGAUCAGAAGGUCGGCGGUUUGAAUCCCCAUGAUGGGGUGAGCUCCCGUUGCUCGGUCCCUGCUCCUGCCAACCUAGCAGUUCGAAAGCACGUCAAAGUGCAAGUAGAUAAAUAGGUACCACUCUGGCGGGAAGGUAAACAGUGUUUCUGUGCACUGCUCUGGUUCGCCAGAAGCGGCUUAGUCAUGCUGGCCACAUGACCCGGAAGCUGUACGCCGGCUCCCUCGGCCAAUAAAGCGAGAAGAGCACCGCAACCCCAGAGUCGGCCACGACUGGACCUAAUGGUCAGGGGUCCCUUUACAUUUUAUGCUUAAAUAAGUGGCACUGACGGAUGCAGAUAAGAGUAGGAGAAAAUACAGUUGGAGAAGAUACAGAGCAACCUCUUUAGAGGCAAAUUGACUCUUUUCAACACAGGAGGAGUGGGCUGCCUGUCUUAGAAGCAUCCAAAGUUCAAAAGAGCAAGUCCUUGAUGAACCAACCUUUCCAUCAGGCGAAUUGGACCAUGAUGACUUUAGCAUUAAAGAACUAGGAAUGGCCCAGUGAGGUUGCUAGGAACUUACAAGAUGUUGGGGCACAGGCCCAUGACACAAUUUGCCAAUGCACUAAUUUAUAUAGCUGCCUCUGGACAAAUUAAGGUGGUGGGUUCCUGGGAUCUUCACCAGCACUGCAAUUUGUAGGCAAAGUAAAAACAGGAACAAAGUCAUUUUAAGAAGGGAGGGAGAGGUGCAGGAAAUCAAGGGCUCAGCCCCAGAGACCUGAUCCACCCCAUAACCACAUCGGACCCAUUCUUCUCACACCAGGUGUUGCAAAGGGAGACCCUCCUAGUGACAGGCAGUGGAGGGGUAUUUCAAAUCUUGUAUGUGGGACAGGAAGAAGCAAUGCCCAAAUAUUCCAUCUCCUACCCAUAUGAAUGGAAUUCAGCUUCCAGGGAGUGGAACCAGGCAUUUGACUCAGAGUAGCCCUGCAGGCUGUGACUUGUUGGACUUUGGCCCGUCCACGUCAAUCAGUUAUCCAGUGGAGAUAAACCAUAUGAAGAUAACCAGAUUUUAAGCCACAAAGUUUCAUAAGUGUUUUCUGGUUGACCAAAUUCCCUGGGCAGGUUAUCUUCCCCUUUUAGACAUCUCCCAACAUUUAUUUGCACCAUCAGGAACAGGCUGGUCAUUUCGUUCUCAUUUACAGGUGGACAUGAGUUCUUCUUGGUUGAGCCAUCAACAGCCGACUGAGAACCAAGACUUACACUUGCUCUUCCGAUCUGCUGGGGUCCAGUCUCCUGACAGGCACCACCUGUGUGGAUUUGCAGCACCCGGCACAGAUGUAUUUCAAGAAACACAGGUAAGCACUCCCAGAGAUGAUGACUGUGACGAUGAUGAUAACGGUGGCACUGAAUGCGGGCGAUACCGUGUCCUCCAGUACAGAGUGGAGCCCCGCAGUGGCAGAGAAGGUCGGCAGUUCUGUGUUCUCCCCUAAGGAUGGAAGAGAAAGGCGAGACAGGGUUCGGUCAUUCUCUUUAGAGUACACUAGGAGUAGAAAACACGCUGGGAAAAUUGAAUUCAAAGAAGUUGUAUUCCCAACCCUUUGCGGACAACAGGACAGGCAGGUGAGGAUCAGGAUGGUGCCAAGUCCUAUAGUUGUCAACAACUAUAUGAAACACAUAAAGAAGACAGCAAGAAAGGAUUUAGUUAUACUAGAUCUAGGUUUCAAACGGAAGUGAUUGAAGGGAAAGUGAAACUACUGAAGGCCGCAUACAGCAUACUAUUAGAAUGGGAGAUGAAAGAUGAAGAGGUAAAAUCAGUUAUGAUUAAAUGAGCACAAGAUGUAGGUCACAACAUUAUGAUGGAAGAUUGGGUUAAAUUAUGGAAAACUGACUUAAAAUUUACAGAUUGUUCCCUAUUGAAGGAGAAUUACAUGAAGAUGAUGUACAGAUGGUACACAACACCAGUGCAGUUAGGGGAAAUGUACAAAACUAGUUCAAAUAUAUGUUGGAAGUGUAAGGAAAAGGAGGGGACAUUUUGUCAUAUGUGGUGGGAUUGUAAGGUAAUCAAAAAAUUUUGGGAAAUGAUAUACAACGAAUUGAAGAAAAUGUUCCAUUUAACAUUUGUUAAAAAAAUCGAGGCAUUUUUGUUGGGGAUUGUAGGGAAAGACCUGCCAAAAAAGUUGAAAAACAUCUUCAUGUAUGUGACAACGGCCGCGAGAGUUCUGGUAGCACAAGGAUGGAAGACUGAAGAAACCCCAACUAAAGAAUCAUGGCAAGAAAAAUUGAUGGACUAUGCAGAACUGGCAAAACUGACAUAUAAGCUACGGGACAAGGAUAACUGUGACUUUAAGGAUGAAUGGGAACCCUUUACAAAGUAUCUGAAGAUGCAACAAAGCGAACUGGACUCCUUGGCAGGUUUUGCAUAAACUUUCACAAACUUUUUAUUGAUAAUAAUCAGCUAAAUAGUUUGAGGAUCUAUACAACUUUGUAACAUGCAGAAAACAGCAUUCUUAGAGAAACCAAAAACUGGAACUGAG